rnacentral:tRNA from 1 species
CGCUGAUCUGCGGCAGGUGUUGACGCAAGCUAGUGGUUUGGGAGAGAAGGUAAGCGAGGCUCCGGCCUGGCUGAUCGUCGCUGCCGAGUGGCGG